AUGAACGCUAGCGGCAGGCCUAAUACAUGCAAGACGAACGGUAAUUCAAAUAGCAAUAUUUGGACAAGAGUGUCGUAAGGGUGCGUAACACGUAUGCAAUCUGCCCUCAACAGGGGAAUAGCUCGGGGAAACUCGAAUUAACACCCCAUAAAAAGACGAUGUGGCAUCAUAUUGUUUUUAAAUCUACGGAGGUUGAGGAUGAGCAUGCGCAUGAUUAGCUAGUUGGCGGGGUAAAGGCCCACCAAGGCGAUGAUCAUUAGGGGAACUGAGAGGUUGAUCCCCCACACUGGCACUGAGAUACGGGCCAGACUCCUACGGGAGGCAGCAGUAGGGAAUAUUGGACAAUGGGUGGAAGCCUGAUCCAGCCAUGCCGCGUGCAGGAAGAAGGCCUUCUGGGUUGUAAACUGCUUUUGCCAGGGGAUAAAAUAGCUAUGCGUAGCGAAUUGAAGGUACCUGGUGAAUAAGCCACGGCUAACUACGU
rnacentral:rRNA from 1 species